GAUUUCUGGCCUGAAACAUUUUGCCGGCCACGGUUUCGUGUGUUAGUGCUUGAUGUUCUGGCCAUCCUUCCAAUCGCUAUUGGCCUUUCUUCAUUGAUAGGUCAGUAGUAUUGGAUCUUUUACUUUGAAAAAAUUAGAGUGUUUCAAGCAGGCUUUAUGCUAUGAAUACAUUAGCAUGGAAUAAUAAUUUAGGACUUCGGUUCUAUUUUGUUGGUUUCUAGGACUGAAGUAAUGAUUGAUAGGGAUAGUUGGGGGUGCUAGUAUUCAGCGGCCAGAGGUGAAAUUCUCGGAUUCGCUGAAGACUAACUUAUGCGAAAGCAUU
rnacentral:rRNA from 1 species